rnacentral:rRNA from 1 species
GCAACGUUAAUCGACGCAGGGUUAGUCGGUCCCUAAGGCGAGGCUGAAAAGCGUAGUCGAUGGAAAACAGGUUAAUAUUCCUGUACUUCUGGUUAUUGCGAUGGAGGGACGGAGAAGGCUAGGCCAGCUUGGCGUUGGUUGUCCAAGUUUAAGGUGGUAGGCUGGAAUCUUAGGUAAAUCCGGGAUUCUAAGGCCGAGAGCUGAUGACGAGCUAACUUUUAGUUAGCGAAGUGGUUG